rnacentral:lncRNA from 1 species
GCUUGAUCACCAGGGGUUGACUGAGUAAUUAAGGCUGUGGAAAUAUAAGCACCUUGGGUCUCAGCAACAUUUACAAACAUUUCAAGUUGGCGGUAGUUUACAUACUUUUUUCCUUAUGGCAUGUUCUGAAAGAAAUUGACUUUAGUUGAACCUGUACUUUGAAGCUACAUGUGCGGUUUAUUUUUUUAGUCAUGGUUGAAUAAAUAGGGGGAGAAAAGACUUGUUUGUUUACUUCAAGAUGACUAAACGGAGAUGAAGUAAACAGCUACAGCUAAUGCUGAAAGUCAGAGGAGAGAAGACAACUUCUGUGAUCACUCGGAGAGUGUCUUAAAAGGGGUCACUGGACAGAUCAGAGAAAACAAGAAGAGCGAGGUCAGCAGUCUGAAGCUACGUCACAGUCAUUCAAUCUGUGCUCCCUGUGUACCUUCAUACCGUCCACAAGGCUCCUCACCAUCUCCGUCUGGGCUGCUAUCUCUUCCAUCAACAGGUAUGUCAUCCUGGUGCAACCAUGAUGAGAUCAGGAAAAGGAGGAAUAUAGCCAGAAGCAGAGAAAUGCUGCCGCUGAGCGGGUCUACUCUCAUUGCUGCCAAGACAGAAAAUUCUGCCCAGAUUUGGGCUACUGUAUGUCCACUUGGGGAACCAGGGAGACUCACCCCAUAUUGAGCGGAGAGCGAUGGACAAUGGUUUACCACUAGUCAAGUGAAGCUGGUAAAGACCAACACCAUGGCUAUUGAGAGGACCACGGGAUACGAUGCUUGUAAUUCAUGAAACACAGUAUGGCAGGUACUCUGAAUAUAAAUCACUAUUAUCAAUAUUGUCUCACCAUCAUCACCUUUAGAACGAUAACCGUUAUUCUUUAAUUAGUGUAUUCAAUAAACACUCAUUUACUCUUCUCA